ACUUCUCAGUCAUACGUUGUUUGUAGUUGUUCAUUUAAUAGAAACUGAUGAAUCAAAGGGGGAUGUCUGUCCUCAAUUUGUUUUCGAUCUUUUGAUCACACAAUAUUAAUGUGACUGGUCAGGAAGUUUUGUGCCUCAGGGGUGUGAGGAGGUGUUGGGCAAGGCUUGAUGAGAUAAACCAGAAGUUUUAAAAAGUAAUAAAAAAGUUGUCACUAAAGGGGGAUCAAUAAUCCAAGAAAAUAAGAGAAAGUAGUAAAAGAUAAAAAAAAAAACCCAAUAGUCUAUUAAACACCACACAUAUUCAUAUAUUGAGGGGAAUGAACCAAAUGAAAAACAAAAGGUGUAUGCCUACUGUUCAGAGACAAAAAUUGUAAUAAAGAG
rnacentral:lncRNA from 1 species